GAUGAACGCUGGUGGCGUGCUUAACACAUGCAAGUCGAACGAUGAAGCCCAGCUUGCUGGGUGGAUUAGUGGCGAACGGGUGAGUAACACGUGAGCAACCUGCCCCUGACUCUGGGAUAAGCGCUGGAAACGGCGUCUAAUACUGGAUAUGUCCCGUCACCGCAUGGUGUGCGGGUGGAAAGAUUUUUCGGUUGGGGAUGGGCUCGCGGCCUAUCAGCUUGUUGGUGAGGUAAUGGCUCACCAAGGCGUCGACGGGUAGCCGGCCUGAGAGGGUGACCGGCCACACUGGGACUGAGACACGGCCCAGACUCCUACGGGAGGCAGCAGUGGGGAAUAUUGCACAAUGGGCGGAAGCCUGAUGCAGCAACGCCGCGUGAGGGAUGACGGCCUUCGGGUUGUAAACCUCUUUUAGCAGGGAAGAAGCGAAAGUGACGGUACCUGCAGAAAAAGCACCGGCUAACUACGUG
rnacentral:rRNA from 1 species